rnacentral:rRNA from 1 species
CCUACGGGGAGCAGCAGUGAGGAAUAUUGGUCAAUGGUCGGGAGACUGAACCAGCCAAGCCGCGUGAGGGAUGAAGGUACAGAGUAUCGUAAACCUCUUUUGUCAGGGAACAAAGGCGUGGACGUGUCCCCGGAUGAGUGUACCUGAAGAAAAAGCAUCGGCUAACUCCGUGCCAGCAGCCGCGGUAAUACGGAGGAUGCGAGCGUUAUCCGGAUUUAUUGGGUUUAAAGGGUGCGCAGUCGGUCUGUUAAGUCAGCGGUAAAAGCCCGGGGCUCAACCCGGGCCCGCCGUUGAAACUGGCAGUCUCGAGUUGGAGAGAAGUAUGCGGAAUGCGCGGUGUAGCGGUGAAAUGCAUAGAUAUCGCGCAGAACUCCGAUUGCGAAGGCAGCAUGCCGGCUCCACACUGACGCUGAGGCACGAAAGCGUGGGUAUCGAACAGGAUUAGAUACCCUAGUAGUC